GCAUAUCAAUAAGCGGAGGAAAAGAAACCAACCGGGAUUGCCUUAGUAACGGCGAGUGAAGCGGCAAAAGCUCAAAUUUGAAAUCUGGCGUCUUCGACGUCCGAGUUGUAAUUUGAAGAAGGCGACUUUGUAGCUGGUCCUUGUCUAUGUUCCUUGGAACAGGACGUCAUAGAGGGUGAGAAUCCCGUGUGGCGAGGAUCCCAGUUAUUUGUAAAGUGCUUUCGACGAGUCGAGUUGUUUGGGAAUGCAGCUCUAAGUGGGUGGUAAAUUCCAUCUAAAGCUAAAUAUUGGCGAGAGACCGAUAGCGAACAAGUACAGUGAUGGAAAGAUGAAAAGAACUUUGAAAAGAGAGUGAAAAAGUACGUGAAAUUGUUGAAAGGGAAGGGCAUUUGAUCAGACAUGGUGUUUUGUGCCCUCUGCUCCUUGUGGGUAGGGGAAUCUCGCAUUUCACUGGGCCAGCAUCAGUUUUGGUGGCAGGAUAAAUCCAUAGGAAUGUAGCUUGCCUCGGUAAGUAUUAUAGCCUGUGGGAAUACUGCCAGCUGGGACUGAGGACUGCGACGUAAGUCAAGGAUGCUGGCAUAAUGGUUAUAUGCCGCCCGUCUUGAAACACGGACCA
rnacentral:rRNA from 1 species